GCCCGUGUUGCCUAAUGGUUAAGGCGUUUGCCUUCUAGGUUUACGUAAUGUUUCCUGGCGAGCAGAAGAUUGUGGGUUCGAGUCCCAUCAUGGGCU
rfam:Kwoniella heveanensis BCC8398 unplaced genomic scaffold supercont1.41, whole genome shotgun sequence.